UUGUGUUCUUAUGGCAGAAAGCUCUGCGCUAGUAAGCCAUCUCUGCCGAAGGCUUCAAAUGUCCAGUUGAAACUGAUGGGAAAUUGAGGCGGAAGAUAGGAUAUGUCCAUAUUGUGAGCUAGCUGCUCUCUUCCAGCCAUGUAUCAAGCUCUCUGGGUUUGGUUCCCAACACGUGAUUUUGGUACAUAGUUCAGCACUGAGGCAGGCAAAAGAAAUCAAGAAUGUAUUGAUGUAUUGAGCUCAGCAAGGUGAAGACCUCAGCAUGGCAAACAUAAACCUAUUAAGUGAAAUGCCGUCAGUUCCAGCUGUCUUGUGAAGACCCCUUCAAAGUUUAAUCCACAGGUCUUGUAUCCUGUCAAAAAAACCCUCAGUUAACAACUUGGAGUCCCUGAAGCCCAUGGAUGAACCACAAGAUGUCGAUAAGGCCCCAGGGGGACAGCUGGACUACUUUAUCAGGAUGGAGAGUAGAAGAUAUCUGACCAUUGCUGAGCUCUUGUGUGAAUGUGUGUGUACUGCUUGAACAGGCAGGUGUUUUAUGUCGUCCUGGGAUAUAUGAUACUUUUACUGUUCCUGAUGCUUUUACUGAUGCUUCAUACUGUUACUAGUUAAUACCCAUACUGGUAAUCAUCAGGUCUUGUUGUAACAAGUUGUAUAAAAGGACUUGGUCUCUGGAGAACCAGGACCUAGUCUGAGGAUGCAUUUUUGCUCGUAUUGGAACAUAGGUUUUUAAAUUUUAUUUUAUUUUAAAUUAAAAUCCUAAUUAUGACAGCAGGUAAUGUGAGGAGAGGAGGGAAGAGAAAUUAAAAAAGGCAAUGUGAACAAUGAAACAUUUUUAUUGCCAAAACCAUAGCAAGUAAUAACAAGCAGGUUAUCUGGAAUGACAUUCUACCCACUGAAACAUCAAAUAACCCUGAAUGAAACUUUAUCUAUUACUGAGGCAUUUAGGAUGGUAUUACUACUAUGUGUGGAUUCUCUUUUGUCCAGUAGUUGGGUCAAACUCAUAGUGAAGACUUUCCCCAGUGGGACACUGUCGCCCUGAAAACUCAGCUUCUGAGCUUGCUGACAUUGUUUUCUAAGACUUUCCCAGGACAGUAACUGUAAACAUAGAGCUAGGUAUACAUUCCUUCUGUUACAUGUCUUGGGAUGGACAUCUCUCAUGGCCAGUGCAGUGGGAAAAUGUUAUCCUGACCAUCCAAUCCUUGGCUGUGGUCAGAAACCUAUAA